CCCCGGGAGGGGAGUGAAAUAGAUCCUGAAACCGUGUGCAUACAAACAGUAGGAGCGGACUUGUUCCGUGACUGCGUACCUUUUGUAUAAUGGGUCAGCGACUUACAUUCAGUGGCAAGGUUAACCAGAUCGGGAAGCCGUAGAGAAAUCGAGUCCGAACAGGGCGAUAGUCGCUGGGUGUAGACCCGAAACCAAGUGAUCUACUCAUGGCCAGGAUGAAGGUGCGGUAACACGCACUGGAGGUCCGAACCCACUAAUGUUGAAAAAUUAGGGGAUGAGCUGUGGGU
rnacentral:rRNA from 1 species